GGCCUGCGUCGUGCGCUCGUGGUGGUAGAUAGAGCGGCGAUAUGACACCCCGCAUGCGGUGGCACGCGCGCAUCUGGCAAAUCUCGCGCCAACACGCAGAUCGCGUCACGUGUGCCACCGCCGCUCCGCCGUGGCGGUGCGGGCGCGAUUGGCUUGCCCGGCUGCUCUUGCUCCAUCUCCGUUCGACACAUGCGCAUGCGCUCCAUGGCAGUUCGUAGGUAGGCCGUAGGCGCCUUCCUCAUUGCAAAUGUGGUUUCCGCUUUCGAGAUUCGUUUACGGACAUUCGUUCUUUCCGCCUUCCAGGGCCGUUGCGCUGCACUGGAACACUUUCACACUGGGCGACCGAACUCAGCAGUCAGCGCACAGCGCCGCCGACGCCCCCUCGGCUCUUGUACGUAACCCGCAAUGGCGAGGCCCUCACGCCAAACCCUGGCCCCGCCGUCCGCGACCUCCCUCCGCCGCCUGUACGGACACUCGAAGCCGCCUCCUCCCCCGGCCUCGGCGUUCCGGAGAGCCGCGGCGGCGCUCCUCCUCGCCGCGGCCGUGGCGCUGCCCUGCGCCGUGCUGUACCGAGCCGUCGUGUCGAAUGCGCCUCCGCCGGUGCAGGUCGUGUGGGAUCGCUGGCCCUCGAGGGAGUGGGGCCCGCCACGAGCUCCGGUUGUGGUCCCCGAGCCCGAGGAGGACCGCGACCUCGACCCCAUUUCCGCCGACGAUCUGGACAGUGAAUAUCUCAAACUUGAGCAAGUUCUACAAGCGGCUUCUAUGGACAAUAAGACCAUUAUAUUGACGACGCUUAAUGCUGCAUGGUCUUCUCCAGGCUCAGUUAUAGAUCUUUUCAUUGAUAGCUUCCGGCAUGGUGUUAGAACUAGUUCACUACUGAAACACCUUGUGAUAAUAGCCUUCGACAGGAAAGCAUAUAGGCGAUGUACUGAGAUCCAUACCUACUGUUAUGCUCUUGUAACCGGUAAUGUGGACUUUUCUCAAGAGAAGAGGUUUCUGACUGCUGGGUAUCUGGAAAUGAUGUGGACAAGGCUGGAUUUCUUGCGCCUAGUUCUUGAAAAAGGUUACAGCUUCAUUUUCUCGGAUGCAGAUAUAAUGUGGUUUCGCAAUCCAUUUCCAUACUUUUACCCGGAUGGAGAUCUUCAGGUUGCAUGUGAUCACUAUGUAGGCAAUGCAACUGACUUGAGAAACAUAGCUAAUGGGGGGUUCAACUAUGUGAAGUCGAACAAUCAAAGCAUAGAGUUUUACAAGUUUUGGUAUUCUUCACGACUGAGAUACCCUGGUUAUCAUGACCAGGAUGUACUUAAUUUUAUUAAGCAUGAUCCUUACAUUAUGGAUAUUGGAUUAACCAUUAAGUUUUUAAGUACUACAUACUUUGGUGGUAUUUGUGAGCCAAGCAAAGAUUUAAAUGAGGUUUGCACAAUGCAUGCUAACUGUUGCAUUGGAUUGCAAAGCAAACUUCAUGAUUUAAGAAUCAUCAUGGAAGAUUGGAGGGAUUAUAUGUCUAUGCCACCAAGCUUAAAAACACCUGGGGCAUUCUCAUGGAGGGUACCACAAAAUUGCAGUCUUUCAUUGUUAAACCAGUGAGACAUGUUUUUGGAUGCAAAUGGUGUGGUAUAGUCAAACAUGUCAAUUUCUGAGAAUUUUGUUGGCAGCUGGAAAGAAAAAUGUACUUGAAAGGAAAAACCAGUGCAUGAGGAACUCCACCUUUUGUUUGAGAAAGACCCGGCUUAGCAGAUUAUAUCUUGAGGACUCUGCCAGUUGAUGCCUUCAUCAGUGUUAUGCAUCCUCUACUUUGGAAAAUAACCAACACGAAGGUGCAAGUUGUUUCUGUUCUCCAGUUUCCAUUUGACAGUGGAGCUGCAGCCUUAUGUGCAUUUUUUUUAAUUGCAUCAGUUAUGUAUACGUUCAUCUGUUUGAUAAGCACUGCGACAGAGACAGUUGUAGAAUCAAACUGAGGGACACUAAUAGAGGUGAUCUGGACACAGGAUUGGUAGAUAAGUAACUAUACUACUUAAAUUACCUUAAGUGAUGGUUUCCAGAAGCCUGACACAUAGUUUCCUUACCUUUUAGUGGAAGCCCUUUUUCUCCUCUUAUUGAUAGUCUAAAAACUAGCAUGAUGCAACUUCAUAAUUGUCGCAAUGUUCAAGAAUGAACUUUUAGAACGUGACGGUGAAUCUUAAUUCGUGACUUGUGACAUUAUCAAUAGGGAACAUUCCAAGUUCAAGGGUUGAAGGCAUCGGCACAGCAAAAGAUGAACUGGCUAUGACUUCCCAGUGUAUCAUCCAUGACCAUGCAGAAUGACUGAAUGAGGGGUGGAAUGUUCAAUAGUGUACAGAGGGAGUAUUUCAUACAUUACCAAAUCCUGUGAAUCAAGAGGUUCAAUACCGAGGAAGGAACUUCAGUUGAUAUCCACUAGAAAAUCGAAAUACCGAGGAAGGAUUUUUUUUUUAACAGAACCGAGGAAGGAUUUUUUUUUAACAGAACCGAGGAAGGAAUUUUAGUUGCUAUCCACUAGAAAAUGGAAACCAAUUGUAUGUCAUGCAAAAGAGAAGUGUUUUAGGCUGCUAGCUAUUUUGACCUCAUUAAUUGUUAAACACAAACCCAUUGAGGCAAGGAAAUAUACAAAUUGUAGCUGGUAGAAUCAUGCAAAUUUGAGAAAGUUCAAGUUUAAGUUGUUCGAAUGAGAGUUUUCCUUAUUGGUAAACUUUGAUUUCAUUUAGGCAAACAGAACCAGGACUACCAACAACACAGAAACUGUAAAACCGCAUGUCCUACAGGAGGUAAAUUUGUAUUUGUGACUUUUUAAAUAGUAUAUCAUUCUUUUUUUAAAAUAUGAUUUCACAUUUGGUUUGAUCCUAUGAAUUCAACUCAAGUGCAAAAAAAAAAUCCAUGAUUACAAAUUCUAAAAGAUAAUUGCGGAUCAACUUUAGAUUUAGC